CCCUUAGAUGUCCGGGGCCGCACGCGCGCUACACUGAAGGAAUCAGCGUGGCUUUCUCCCUGACCCGAAAGGGUUGGGAAACCCGUUGAAUCUCCUUCGUGAUAGGGAUUGGGGCUUGAAAUUGUUCCCCAUGAACGAGGAAUUCCCAGUAAGCGCGAGUCAUAAGCUCGCGUUGAUUACGUCCCUGCCCUUUGUACACACCGCCCGUCGCACCUACCGAUUGAAUGGUUCGGUGAAGAUCUCGGACUUCGAUAUUUAUUCUUUAUUGAGUUUAUAUUGUGGGAAGUUAUCUAAACCUCAUCAUUUAGAGGAAGGUGAAGUCGUAACA
rnacentral:rRNA from 1 species